rnacentral:piRNA from 1 species
GCAGAGAAGUUCUAGCAGUUCAGGAG